CCUACGGGUGGCUGCAGUGAGGAAUAUUGGUCAAUGGACGAGAGUCUGAACCAGCCAAGUAGCGUGAAGGAUGACUGCCCUAUGGGUUGUAAACUUCUUUUAUAUGGGAAUAAAACGUUCCACGUGUGGGAUUUGUAUGUACCAUAUGAAUAAGGAUCGGCUAACUCCGUUACAGCAGCCGCGGUAAUACGGAGGAUCCGAGCGUUAUCCUGAUUUAUUGGGCUUAAAGGGAGCGUAGGUGGAUUGUUAAGUCAGUUGUGAAAGUUUGCGGCUCAACCGUAAAAUUGCAGUUGAAACUGGCAGUCUUGAGUACAGUAGAGGUGGGCGGAAUGCGUGGUGUAGCGGUGAAAUGCUUAGAUAUCACGAAGAACUCCGAUUGCGAAGGCAGUUCACUGGACUGCAACUGACACUGAGGCUCGAAAGUGUGGGUAUCAAACAGGAUUAGAUACCCGAGUAGUC
rnacentral:rRNA from 1 species